AGCAGCCGCGGUAAUUCCAGCUCCAAUAGCGUAUAUUAAAGUUGUUGCAGUUAAAAGCUCGUAGUUGAAUUUCGGGAUCAAUACGUCGGUCGUGCUUCGGUACGUACUGGCGUCAUUGAUUUCUCCCUUCUGACGAACCAUGAUGUCAUUAACUUGGUGCCAUGGGAAAUCAGGACUGUUACUUUGAAAAAUUAGAGUGUUUAAAGCAGGCUCACGCUUGAAUACAUUAGCAUGGAAUAAUGAAAUAGGACGUUCGAUCCUAUUUUGUUGGUUUUUAGGAUCAACGUAAUGAUUAAUAGGGAUAGUUGGGGGCAUUAGUAUUCAAUUGUCAGAGGUGAAAUUCUUGGAUUUAUUGAAGACUAACUACUGCGAAAGCAUUUGCCAAGGAUGUUUUUCAUUAAUCAAGAACGAAAGUUAGGGGAUCGAAGACGAUCAGAUACCGUCGUAGUCUUAACCAUAAACUAUGCCGACUAGGGAUCGGAUGAUGUUAAUUUUUUAAUGACUCAUUCGGCGCCUUACG
rnacentral:rRNA from 1 species